UUAACACAUGCAACUCGAACGGUGAACACGGAGCUUGCUUGUGGGAUCAGUGGCGAACGGGUGAGUAACACGUGAGCAACCUGCCCCUGACUCUGGGAUAAGCGCUGGAAACGGCGUCUAAUACUGGAUACGAGACGUGAUCGCAUGGUCAGCGUCUGGAAAGAUUUUUCGGUUGGGGAUGGGCUCGCGGCCUAUCAGCUUGUUGGUGAGGUAAUGGCUCACCAAGGCGUCGACGGGUAGCCGGCCUGAGAGGGUGACCGGCCACACUGGGACUGAGACACGGCCCAGACUCCUACGGGAGGCAGCAGUGGGGAAUAUUGCACAAUGGGCGGAAGCCUGAUGCAGCAACGCCGCGUGAGGGAUGACGGCCUUCGGGUUGUAAACCUCUUUUAGCAGGGAAGAAGCGAAAGUGACGGUACCUGCAGAAAAAGCGCCGGCUAACUACGUGCCAGCAGCCGCGGUAAUACGUAGGGCGCAAGCGUUAUCCGGAAUUAUUGGGGCGUAAAGAGCUCGUAGGCGGUUUGUCGCGUCUGCUGUGAAAUCCCGAGGCUCAACCUCGGGCCUGCAGUGGGGUACGGGCAGACUAGAGGGCGGUAGGGGAGAUUUGGAAUUCCUGGUGUAGCGGUGGAAUGCGCAAAUAUCAGGAGGAACACCGAAUGGCGAAAGGCGGAUCUCUGGGCCGUAACUGACGCUGAGGAGCGAAAGGGUGGGGAGCAAACAGGCUUAAGAUACCCUGGUAGUCCACCCCGUAAACGUUGGGAACUAGUUGUGGGGUCCAUUCCACGGAUUCCGUGACGCAGCUAACGCAUUAAGUUCCCCGCCUGGGGAGUACGGCCGCAAGGCUAAAACUCAAAGGAAUUGACGGGGACCCGCACAAGCGGCGGAGCAUGCGGAUUAAUUCGAUGCAACCGCGAAGAACCUUACCAAGGCUUGACAUAUACGAGAACGGGCCAGAAAUGGUCAACUCUUUGGACACUCGUAAACAGGUGGUGCAUGGUUGUCGUCAGCCUCGUGUCGUGAGAUGUUGGGUUAAGUCCCGCAACGAGCGCAACCCUCGUUCUAUGUUGCCAGCACGUAAUGGUGGGAACUCAUGGGAUACUGCCGGGGUCAACUCGGAGGAAGGUGGGGAUGACGUCAAAUCAUCAUGCCCCUUAUGUCUUGGGCUUCACGCAUGCUACAAUGGCCGGUACAAAGGGCUGCAAUACCGUGAGGUGGAGCGAAUUCCAAAAAACCCGUUCCAGUUCGGAUUGAGGU
rnacentral:rRNA from 1 species